GAUGAACGCUGACAGAAUGCUUAACACAUGCAAGUCAACUUGAAUUUGGGUUUUUAACUUAGGUUUGGGUGGCGGACGGGUGAGUAACGCGUAAAGAACUUGCCUCACAGCUAGGGACAACAUUUGGAAACGAAUGCUAAUACCUAAUAUUAUGAUAAUAGGGCAUCCUAUAAUUAUGAAAGCUAUAAGCGCUGUGAGAGAGCUUUGCGUCCCAUUAGCUGGUUGGAGAGGUAACGGCUCACCAAGGCGAUGAUGGGUAGCCGGCCUGAGAGGGUGAUCGGCCACAAGGGGACUGAGACACGGCCCUUACGCCUACGGGAGGCAGCAGUGGGGAAUAUUGGACAAUGGACCGAGAGUCUGAUCCAGCAAUUCUGUGUGCACGAUGAAGUUUUUCGGAAUGUAAAGUGCUUUCAGUUGGGAAGAAACAAAUGACGGUACCAACAGAAGAAGUGACGGCUAAAUACGUG
rnacentral:rRNA from 1 species